CCUACGGGAGGCAGCAGUGAGGAAUAUUCCACAAUGGGGGAAACCCUGAUGGAGCGAUGCCGCGUGCAGGAAGACGCUUUUCGGAGUGUAAACUGCUUUUAACAGGGAAGAUUAUGACGGUACCUGUAGAAUAAGGACCGGCUAACUACGUGCCAGCAGCCGCGGUAAUACGUAGGGUCCAAGCGUUAUUCGGAAUUACUGGGCGUAAAGCGUUCGUAGGCGGUUUGGUAAGUUGGAUGUGAAAUCCUGUGGCUCAACCACAUGGACUGUGUCCAAAACUACCUGACUGGAGCAUAGUAGAGGCAAGUGGAAUUUGCGGUGUAGGAGUGACAUCCGUAGAUAUCGCAAGGAACACCAAUGGCGAAGGCAGCUUGCUGGGCUAUUGCUGACGCUGAGGAACGAAGGCGUGGGGAGCGAACGGGGAUUAGAUACCCCGGUAGUCCACGCCGUAAACGAUGAUCACUAGCAGUAUGAGAUCGACCUCUGUGUUGUCACAGCUACGUACGUUAGUAGUAUCCGCCGUGGGAGGUACGGGCGGCGAGACGUUAAACUAACUAAAUAGUUAAGUUAGUACGGCGUUGAGACGNGCCGACGGACGACGACGAGGGAGGAGG
rnacentral:rRNA from 1 species